rnacentral:lncRNA from 1 species
UUUUUUUUUUUUACUUUUUUUAAAAAGUGGGAGGGGUUAUGAUGCUUGGUCCAUUGAAGGAAGUUAAAAUUGACUUACUCUGAUUCUUAUAAAAUUGUUAUAGUUGUGGUUUUGAUUUCCUAUUUUAUAACUUGCUAGCUGUGUAAUCUUAGGUAAUUAAUCUCUGAGGUUUUCCUUCAUUAGUAAAUGAGGUUAAUUUCUCUACUUCAUGGGAAGAUCCAGUGAGAUCAUUGGGAGUAACUGAAAAAAUGGAAAAUUUACAAGAUGCAGUUAUUGUUACUAGAAGUUUAACAUGAUUCUCUUGUCCUUGAUUCUCAGGUGGAACAUUCUCCCUUUCCUAAUCACACUUCAUGUGACUCCUUAUCUUUCUCUAUCCAGUCAGGGAUUGGGAGGGUGCUUGCCUUGUUUUGUUUUGGGGUGGGUUUUUUUGUUUUGUUUUGAUGAGGUUCAGUCCUCAGCUAUUUGAUUUUCAUCUGAAUGUCCCUUGAAGAACUCAUCUGUUGUCAGGCUUUCAUUUAGUUUUGUGUAGAUACCAUUUAAAUCUCCCUUUACCCUCAUCUUUGAGAGCUUCCCUUUCCUUUGCGGUAUCUAUCAGCUGGAAAGGCUGUGAAUUUUUUAGUUCACUUAGACCUGAGCUCAUGGUAGGUAUGCCAGAAAUUAACAAAAACUAAGUCUGUGCCAGGCACUGUGCUAAGUGCUUUACAAAUACUUACUCAUUUAAUCCCUACCAGCUAUGAGGUAGGUACUGUUCUAUCUCCAUGUUAUAGAUGGGGGAAAGGAGCCGGAAAUUAAAUAAGUCAUUAGUCCCAGGUCACAGAACUAGUAAAUGGUGAAGCCACAACUCGGACCAGGUGGCCUGGCUCCCGAGCAGCCUGCAUGGUGGGCCCCUGCCAACCCUUCCUGUUUCUACCACUGCUGGCCUCCAGUCCAGUGACUUAACCCAGGUGCUUGUCAGCAGUCAAGAAUUCUGUCUGGAGGCCAGAAGAGUUAGGUAUGUGAUUAGACCACAACACGAAAACGCCAGGGAGCUCCUGGCCUGUCUAAAGAGGGAAACCAUGUUUUCCUCACAUGGAUUGUGGGCUUUUAAUGGUGCAGAGCUUCUGGACUUGGUGGCUUUUUUCAGGCCCUUAAAACCCUGCCUGAGCUACAAGAAAUAUGUCUGUAAGCCCGAAAGGUUACUUUUUUUUUACUUCUUGAGUAGCCACAUUCUGAUCUAUGAGAUCAAUCUUAACUGUACCUUGGUCAUUUUCUGCUCUAAUGUCAACAAAGGCCUGUGGAUUAGUUUUUACUGCUUUGUCUAGCACCAAAAAUGCAAUGAGAGUAAUGUAGUAAUGUGAAGUGUUUUACAUUUUACUAAUGUUCCAGCAUUUACUUAGCCAGUGUUUUGAUUGUAAUCCUUUGCUCUUACAAGUAGUGCUGUGUAAGUCUGUCUGUAGCAUGGAUUCCUAGAUGCAGAAUUGCUAUUUGAGAAGCUGUGGGCUUUUCCUUGUGGUAGUUCAUGCCUCCUUAGAGGUAAUUUUAGUUUCCUCUCGCUGCCGGCAAGAUGAGAGAGUGUCUGCUUCCCUCCAGCCUCUCCUACCGUGUUUUCUCAUAUUUAGCCCUUUAUGCUCUAAAAAAUGGAUCUCUUGUUAUUGAGAGGAAACUUUUUACAUAUUUAAGAGCUGUUUGUUUUUUCUAAUAGUUGUCCUUUUUUUAACUUUUUGGUAGGGCAAGAGGGAUAUGGUUUUUACCUGACUUAUAGAAAUUCUUUAAAGAGACGUGCCCAUUUCUUAGUAAAAAAUAUUUGCAACUUGCAAGUUGUGUGACAGUGUUUCCCACAGCUUUUUAUACAGAUUCGUUAUACUCCUGUAGUCAGUUUUCACCCGGUGAUUCCUUCUUCCUCUUAAUUGUGGUACUUAUUUGUUCUGGGAUGUGUCAUUUAUGGUCUGCUACUUUGUAUCACUAUAUUGCUUAUUAUUGAGAUCGAGAUCUGAAGGGGAGGGAGUCUUUCGUAGGUUUUCUUAGGGUUUGCCAGCACUAUGGAGUAUAUAGCGUAUGUGCUGAGCAUUUGGGGAGGGUUUAUAUAUGAAUUAAUGGUGGUAAAACAAUUACAGUAGUGUUUCUAUAUUGAGGGGAUGGGUAUUUGGUGUUUGGCUCUUUCCUUGUUUGGAUUAAUUACCACACACCUGGAUUCCUGCUCUCACUUGUUAAUAAUAUUUAACGUCUCUUGAGCACCAACAAUGAUCCAGACCCUGUUCUGGCCUUUUACUUGUGCAGUCUCCUUUAAUCAUCACAGCAGUUCAGUGACCUGGAAUUUUCAUCUCAUUUCACAGAGGAAAUAAUCUUGGAAAUAGAGUAACUGGACUCAAGUAUAAUAAAUAAGUAUCACGAUGGGAAUUUAAAUCUCAGAAGUCCUUCGUGACCAUAUAGUUGCCAAAAUCAUUAUUAUAUGUUUUCCUACUCUCCUGGCUUUUAGUGACUUUUAUUGUGUUAAAUCUAAAUUCUUAGGCUCUCAAGAUCUCGGUAACCUUUCCCAUUCUUCUGAUUGACCUGACAUUCAUGUUUUUUUUUUUUUUUUGUCUUUUUUUUGCUAUUUCUUUGGGCCACUUCUGCGGCAUAUGGAGGUUCCCAGGCUAGGGGUCGAAUUGGAGCUGUAGCCACCAGCCUACGCCAGAGCCACAUCAAUGCGGGAUCCGAGCCGCGUCUGCAACCUACACCACAGCUCACAGCAACGCCGGAUCAUUAACCCACUGAACAAGGGCAGGGACCGAACCCGCAACCUCAUCGUUCCUAGUUGGAUUCGUUAACCACUGCGCCACAACGGGAACUUCCAUAUUUUUAAUUGAGUUGACAUCUUGAGUCUACAGUAAAUGCAUUGUACACGUGUACUCAUCUGAAAUGCAUUCUUUUCCCAAAUGACCAAAUUCUGUUCUUGAAGGCUGUUCCAUGGAGCCUUGCCUGGCUGCCAUGGUCCCUGCCAGUCUCUUUCCCAGUUAUUUAAACUCUUGCCUCGUCUGCUGUACCUUUGACCAUUUAGUGUGUCUUUUGUCUCUUCAUUUCACUAUGUAGAUUCUGACAGCACAGAUCACCCUCAAAGCUCUGGCUUCCUCUUGCUCUGACCCCGCCUCGGCCCCGCCCUCGACAUGCAGAAGUUCCCAGGCCAGGGAUUAAAUCCUCACCACAGCAGAGACAGUGCCACAUUCAAGCCCAUGUCGAAUCCAUGCUUCAAGCCUCAGUACCAGUGGCUUUGGACCAGCCUAUUUCCUGAUGUUUUUCUAUUCUAUUCCCUUCUGAUAGGAACUUUAAUGUGAAAAUAUAAGUACUCAUUUUCUCAUGUUUAAAUAUUUUAGGUGAGAAGAUAGUUUAUUAGGACAUAUCUAUGCAAACAUUUCAGUUAUUCAGCUAUGCUUUCACAGGAAAAAGUAAUUUUAUGAUUGGUGGGGGGGGAUGGAAAUUUUAGCUUAAGAUAAAUGCAUUAGAAGACAGCUAAGUAAGCAAGUAGCAUAACAAUGAAUUUAGAAUGAUAGUAGGGAAUGAAAGAAGAUGGAAAAAGGAAAUAUGUGGAAAAUUAGCCAUACUGACCUUACCAAUGAAUGAAAAAAAUAAAAAACCCCAAGGUAGACUGAAAGAGCCAAAAGUCAGGACUCUUAUGAGUUACAUUCUAAGAGAAAAAGAAUUAUUAACCCUCAAUGCGGAAACUCAGAGAACAAGUGUCCUGCUUCAACAGAAUUUGUAUGUACAAAUAAAGCUUUGUAAAACAAACUUUAUUUACACGGGCAUUUAUAUGUUUAGUAUUGAUUUUAUUUUUAACGUAUCAAGUUGCUCCAGGCAAUCUAAAGUCUUUUUUAAAAAAAUUAGAUCCACAUGACACAUAGAAUUAAAGUAAGAUGUAUCUAGUGGGAAUAAGAGCAAGUGUUUCCUGUCCCAUCGAGAGUUGGGUUCAGUAGAAAACUGGCAUAAGGAUGAUAAACAACAUAUAAAGACACUUCUGGAUGAAGAUACUUAAAUGGUGUUUCAUAUAAGGACUACUAGUCUCUUAUGUAACAUCUGGUGUGAACAGUGUAGUAAAACUCUUGGGGAUGACGGUCUAUGGGAAUCUUCUCACCCUGUGAUUGGAAAGUAGGUAGUCAGUGUAGGCUGAUAAAAGGCAAGGAGUUAGUGAAAAGCACUGUAAAUUAAGAUCUUGAUCACCAAGCUGUUGGUUAUAAUACAGGACAGGAAAGCAGAUGAGCUUGUUUCCUUCAGUGUUCCAUUUCCUCGUGUUGCAAUAGCAGAAUAGGCGAAGCAGAUAUUCUGUCACUCCACAAGUUAUGUAGAAAUACAACUUUUAUAUGCAGAAAAAAAUGAAGGCAUUCUCUGGGGGCCUAGUGGUUAAAGAUUUGGUGUGGUCACUGCUGUGGCCUGAGUUCCAUCCCUGGCUUGGGAGUUUCUGCAUGCUGCAGGCACGGUCAAAAACGGCGGAGGGGGCGGGGGGAGAUACUUUCCUUACUCCUUCUGUAUAGCAUUUCUGGUGAAGCUCAGUAAUAGUAACAGAAAUGCCAACAAUUAGCAACUGAUCUGACAGUAAUUGAGUGUUUUUCAGUUAAUGUUGUUAAGUCGGUUAUUAAAUUGUCCUAGUCAUAGUGCUAAUGGAUGGAGUUACAGAAAGAAUCCUUCAUGGGGCUCAGUCUCGUGGGAAGGAAGAUCAUGGAAGAGAUCAUUACAAAUGUGGAACACAAAGGGGUACAGGAAGUUUGGGAGACCUGGUGGUUGGGAAGAGGGGUGGAGUCAGGAUACACUUCUUGGAGAAAUGAAAGUUUAAGCCAGAAUUUAAAUGAUGAGUGGGAGUUCACUGGCCCAAGAGGACAAGGAGAGCCUUCCAGGCAAACGGAACAGUUUUGCGAAGGCUCAUAAGUAAAAGCACGGCUGGUGUUUGAGUCUGAAGCUGAAAUGGUGGAGGCCAGAAAAAACGACAUUGUAGGCCCUUUGAUUUAGUUCCUGAAUAUUAUUUCCUCUCCUAAUAUAAGCAAUGAAUGGCUAUUAAAUAUUUGUAAUUAGUGAACGAAUAAUAAUUACCAUUCUUGUGCUCUGCAGUUGCUAAUUGAUUUUGUUAUGUUUCUGUGGCUGUGGUGUAGGCUGGCAGCUAUAGCUCCAAUUUGACCCCUAGCCCAGGAUUUUCCAUAUGCUGCAGGUAUGGCCCUAAAAAAAAAAAAAAGUGGACAUGUGAAAAAACUGAACCAUAGGUUUGAUAAUUUGCCUAAGAUGAGAUUACUUAGGCCACUAAGUGGGGAAUGGAUCUGAGAGGGGAAAGGUGGAUCUGAGGAUACCAGAUUUUAAGGCUGCUUCCAUAUCUGUAAUGCAGAUGCAGUGGUGACUUGACCUCCAGUAAGUAGCAGUGGGCAUGGAGUGAGGUGACAGGUUUGGGAGUUUUUUUUUUUUUUUUUUAAAGCAUUACCACAGAAGGAUGUGGUGAUUCGUUGUGCAGGGAAACUCCCAGGAUUCUUAGCAGCUGAGCUUGUUGGACAGUGAGCUGGGAGAUGCUGGAAGAAUAGGAUUGUGGGCGAGAACACUGAUGGACGAUCUAGGGAGACAUGUUUUAGGAUAGGAGGGACUGAAGUGUUAGUGGGGUGGAUCCGAGAGAGAGAUGAGAUAUAGCAAAGAGAACAUUUAAUGUAGAAUGAGUUUCAAAAGCAAGCAUAAUCUAGAGUAGGGGUGGGAGGACUAGCCUCUGAUGGGUGAACUCCUCUGGGUCCUUCUCUGAGGCUGAGCAGAGACUUGCUAGCUUGACCUGUUAGGAAAUUCUCAUAUUACAAUUCUUAAAUUCUUAGUGCACUAAGGAGGCAAGUUGAAUUAGUUUUAUCUUGAAUCUAUUUAAAAAUCAACCAGAGUGAGAAUGUGAUCAAUCUCAAUACUCCAUAUUUUUUAUAUUAGCAUGGAUGAGUUAAUUUCCAUGAAAGAUCAUCAGACUCCUAGAUCACCACCUGCUUUCUCUGAUCCUUUUAUUUGAUCCUCGCAUCUAGUUCUUUGGGUCUCAAUGUGUCUGCCCGUUAGGAUUAUUUGCAUGUUUUUAAUAAACAGCAUUAUCUGUCCCCACUCCAGACACUUGAGCCAGUCUCGGGAUGGGGCAAGGGCAUGGGUAUUUUUUAACAGCUUUGAGGGGACGCUUGAUAUUGUUGAGGCUGAAAAAACCAUGAUUAGUUCUUGUACUUCCAUAAUCUAAAUCUCUUGGGAGAGCUAUUAGUUUAAAGCUUUUACUCAGUCCAGGAGACCCCUUUCCUCUAACCAACUGGUUUCAGAAACUGCUCAAAUUGAAAUUUAGAACAAAAGCAUUUAUAAAACCAUUAAUUGUUAGUUGAAUAUCUUUGCUGUUUUAUUACUUGGCUUUUAUUCAUUUUGUCCUUGGGCCUAUUUAUUUUUUUAAAAACUCUGGUGGGUUUUUUUUGUUUGUUUGUUUGUUUGUUUUUUGCUUUUUUUCUUUCUCUGUUUUUUAGGGCCAGGUUUGUGGCAUAUGGAAUUUCCCAGGCUAGGGGUCAUAUGGGAGUUGUAGCUGCCGGCCACAGCCACAGCCACAGCCACAGCCACAGCAAUGUGAGGUCCUUAACCCACUGAGUGAGGCCAGGGAUUGAACCCUCAUGCUCAUGGAUACUAGUUGGAUUCGUUUCCAGAGCCACAAGGGGAACUCCCCGUGGGCUUAUUUCUGUCAGGGACUGUAAAUAGCUCUUAGCACGGUGCCGCCUAUUUGAUGACAGAUGUUAUUUAUUUUUUUUUUUAACUUUUAUUUACUUACUUAUUUUUGGGCCAUGCCCAUGACGCUCAGAAGUUCCAAGCCUAGGGAUCGAAACCAAGCCACAGCAAUGACCUGAGCUGCUGCAAUGACAAUGCCAUAGCCUUAACCUGCUCUGCCACCGGGGUAACUCCUACAUGUUCUUUAUAGAUUUAGAGUGUCUUAAACUUGAAUUUUUUUUAUUUCAGCCCCCAAUAGUAUUACCUAUUUUAAGAUAUUUUGACAGUACUUGUACCCUCAAAUGUUUGGAUUCUGCAGAUAUCCAAAAUAUCCAAGUGGGUCAUGAUCCAAGUAAAAAGAUUCUAAAAGCUCAAGAAUAGGAGUUCCUGUUGUGGCUCAGCAGAUUAAGACCCGACAUUGUGUCUUUGAGGAUUCAGGUUUGAUACCUUGCCUGGAAUAGUAGGUUAAGGAUCCGGCAUUGCUAUAAGCUACGGAAUAGGUCACAGAUAUGGCUUGGGAUCUAUUGACUGUGGCUGUAGUGUAGACUGGCAGCUGCAGCUCCCAUCGGACCCCUAGCCUGGGAACUUCCAUAUGCCGAAGGUGCGGCCCUAAGAAGAAAAAAAAAGCUCAAGAAUAUAGUUCAAAAAUUUCUUAAGGCAGUGCUGGGAAGAAGGCUUAAAUUUCAGCAAUUGUCUACUUUAAAUGGAUAUAAAAGUUUUAGAGCUAACAACUAUUCAAAAGCCUAAAUAUUUUAGGAUGAAGAAGCCUUUGAUGGUUGUAAUCAGCUUGCAUUGUUACUUGGUAUAUGUUAUAAUAAAUUACAGCUUCUAUUAUUAUGUGAACAUGGAAUUAUGUUGGUUUGUGAGUCUUGGUUAAUGGGUAUCACACAUUUCCUGUUUAUCUGUAAAUUCUAAAUUAAAAGUAUUAAUUUUCCUAACUCUA